GACGAACGCUGGCGGCGUGCUUAACACAUGCAAGUCUAACGGAAAGGCCCUGCUUUUGUGGGGUGCUCGAGUGGCGAACGGGUGAGUAACACGUGAGUAACCUGCCCUUGACUUUGGGAUAACUUCAGGAAACUGGGGCUAAUACCGGAUAGGAGCUCCUGCUGCAUGGUGGGGGUUGGAAAGUUUCGGCGGUUGGGGAUGGACUCGCGGCUUAUCAGCUUGUUGGUGGGGUAGUGGCUUACCAAGGCUUUGACGGGUAGCCGGCCUGAGAGGGUGACCGGCCACAUUGGGACUGAGAUACGGCCCAGACUCCUACGGGAGGCAGCAGUGGGGAAUAUUGCACAAUGGGCGGAAGCCUGAUGCAGCAACGCCGCGUGCGGGAUGACGGCCUUCGGGUUGUAAACCGCUUUCGCCUGUGACGAAGCGUGAGUGACGGUAAUGGGUAAAGAAGCACCGGCUAACUACGUGCCAGCAGCCGCGGUGAUACGUAGGGUGCGAGCGUUGUCCGGAUUUAUUGGGCGUAAAGGGCUCGUAGGUGGUUGAUCGCGUCGGAAGUGUAAUCUUGGGGCUUAACCCUGAGCGUGCUUUCGAUACGGGUUGACUUGAGGAAGGUAGGGGAGAAUGGAAUUCCUGGUGGAGCGGUGGAAUGCGCAGAUAUCAGGAGGAACACCAGUGGCGAAGGCGGUUCUCUGGGCCUUUCCUGACGCUGAGGAGCGAAAGCGUGGGGAGCGAACAGGCUUAGAUACCCUGGUAGUCCACGCUGUAAACGGUGGGUACUAGGUGUGGGGUCCAUUCCACGGGUUCCGUGCCGUAGCUAACGCUUUAAGUACCCCGCCUGGGGAGUACGGCCGCAAGGCUAAAACUCAAAGGAAUUGACGGGGCCCCGCACAAGCGGCGGAGCAUGCGGAUUAAUUCGAUGCAACGCGUAGAACCUUACCUGGGUUUGACAUGGAUCGGGAGCGCUCAGAGAUGGGUGUGCCUCUUUUGGGGUCGGUUCACAGGUGGUGCAUGGCUGUCGUCAGCUCGUGUCGUGAGAUGUUGGGUUAAGUCCCGCAACGAGCGCAACCCUUGUUCACUGUUGCCAGCACGUUAUGGUGGGGACUCAGUGGAGACCGCCGGGGUCAACUCGGAGGAAGGUGGGGAUGACGUCAAGUCAUCAUGCCCCUUAUGUCCAGGGCUUCACGCAUGCUACAAUGGCUGGUACAGAGAGUGGCGAGCCUGUGAGGGUGAGCGAAUCUCGGAAAGCCGGUCUCAGUUCGGAUUGGGGUCUGCAACUCGACCUCAUGAAGUCGGAGUCGCUAGUAAUCGCAGAUCAGCAACGCUGCGGUGAAUACGUUCCCGGGGCU
rnacentral:rRNA from 1 species